AAAAUGUCUCGAAGUAUGUUAUCACCGCAGAUAUGAAUCAGCAAGAUUUCAGUGAACAGAAGGUGUUAGAACAAGUCCAUCUAGAAAAUGCACAUCUAGAUGAUCAACUCCAUUGUUAUUCUGAUAAGCUCUUGUCAAGACAUGCACAGUGUCUCAUACCUUUAACUACAAAGGAUACGUUGAACAAUCUUAGAUGUGAUACUAAGCAAGGAUGGCCUGCUGAAGGGCCAGCUAAACAACAAAGAGAAACGGACAUGAAUUUUCUCAAGUCUGAAGUGUCUUUUCCCUCUGAUACUAAAAGUGAGGGUUUUAUAGUUGAUGAUAGAACCAGUGGACAAUUGCAGAUUGGUGCUAUCAGAGUAGAAACUGUUUCUGAUAAUCAACCAGGAAUGCUUGGAAAUCAAAUACAUGAAUCAUUCUUGUCCUCAGCGGUGAACUCUUGCCAAUUACAACCUGAAAAUUUCUUAGUCUGUGAUGAUAAACAGAGUGUGAAGUUGGUU
rnacentral:misc_RNA from 1 species